AGAGCGAACGCUGGCGGCGUGCUUAACACAUGCAAGUCGAGUGCGCGCCUGUAGCAAUACAGGUGGCGCACGGCGCACGGGUGCGUAACACGUGGGUAAUCUGCCCUUCGAUGGGGAAUAACUCCGGGAAACCGAAGCUAAUUCCGCAUAACAUUCCUUGGACCUUCGGUCUGGGGAUUCAAAGCCGUAAGGCGUCGGAGGAGGAACCCGCGCACGGAUUAGUUAGUUGGCAGGGUAACGGCCUACCAAGACUUUGAUCGUUAGC
rnacentral:rRNA from 1 species